rnacentral:rRNA from 1 species
UCUGUAGCAAGGUUAACCGAAUAGGGGAGCCGGAGGGAAACCGAGUCUUAACCGGGCGUUAAGUUGCAGGGUAUAGACCCGAAACCCGGUGAUCUAGCCAUGGGCAGGUUGAAGGUUGGGUAACACUAACUGGAGGACCGAACCGACUAAUGUUGAAAAAUUAGCGGAUGACCUGUGGCUGGGGGUGAAAGGCCAAUCAAACCGGGAGAUAGCUGGUUCUCCCCGAAAGCUAUUUAGGUAGCGCCUCGUGAAUUCAUCUCCGGGGGUAGAGC